UACGUAGGGUGCAAGCGUUGUCCGGAAUUAUUGGGCGUAAAGAGCUCGUAGGCGGUCUGUCGCGUCGGCUGUGAAAACUCGGGGCUCAACUCCGAGCUUGCAUUCGAUACGGGCAGGCUAGAGUUCGGUAGGGGAGACUGGAAUUCCGUGGUGUAGCGGUGAAAUGCGCAGAUAUCAGGAGGAACACCGGUGGCGAAGGCGGGUCUCUGGGCCGAUACUGACGCUGAGGAGCGAAAGCGUGGGGAGCGAACAGG
rnacentral:rRNA from 1 species